rnacentral:lncRNA from 1 species
AAGUCCUACCACAACUGGAAAGGGGGAUUCUAUUCGUUUUACAGUUUUACGGAGGAAGAAACUAAAGCUGAGAAGGACAAAGAGACCUUCCCAAGGUCAUGCAGCUAGUAAGUGGCUGUCUCAGAACCACACCAGCCAGACUCCAGAAAUCCCGUUGCCCAGGCCCAAAGUGUCACUACUGACCAUCUCCUCCUCCCUGGAAAUCUCAGUCAACACUGUCAUGGGGUCAACCUCAGAGAGGAAAGAGUGUCCCCUGCUUCUGCUCAGUGUCCAGGAGUAUCCCGAACAGAAGGUAGGGCCCUCUGACAAUGUCAGCCACCAGACCAGGCUCCAAGAAGUGGCCAAGCUCCAAGAGGAUGGGUGAAAAACACUCUGAA